AGGGGAGAACAGUUAGUGCUGAUUUUCAUUUGCAUACAUUUUCAUAUAUUUUGGUGAAAAUAAUAGACUGGUGGAGAGCUGGGUUUAGAGGAGUCAGUGUAAAGGGAAGACUAAGGAUGCAUCGGUUCUGGGGAGUUGAGAAUAUGCCUUUCCCCCCACAGGCACCUUUAAAAAAAUAAUAAAACAUCUUCUUUUAUUUUAAAAUCUAACCCUGGAAGUUUGCUGGGGAAAGCUGCUUCAAGGCAAUCCUGUUUCCUAUGUCUUUCAUGUUCCCCUGUCCUGUGAUCUGGGGACAGAGUAGGGGAACAAGAUUGAGCUGAUCUCUGACUUUCUGGAGCUACACUGGAGUUGGGGAGAUGGACGGAUGGUACACCAUGGACUGAGCAGAGAGAAAGAUUGCUCCGAAGGAAACCAAAAAGGGUGGGAAGAUCAGGACUGGCCUAUUUUGGAUCCGGAGGUAAUGGGACGUCUUCCUGAGGAGAGGAUGCUUUGAACCGAGUCAGGAAUGAAGAGAAGGGGCCCGCAGGCCCUCAGUGGAUUGGAUGAUGCCUACUGGUGAGGGUGGCCUUCUUUACUCAUCUACUGGUUGAAACGCUAGUCUCUUCCAGAAACAUCCUCACAGACACAUCCAGAAGUAAUGUUUUACCAGGCUUCUGUAGAUGUUAACUUAGACUUGCGGCAGGAGACUGGUUUUGUGUGAGUUUGCCUGGGGAAGAAAAUGGAGGCUCCACUAUCUUCUGGGAGUUUUCCGUGGGCACUGACAGCCUGCUCGUGUGCCCAGGGCCGAAAUCUGUUAUUCCAUCUCAAUCCUAGAACCCACGAUCACAGCUCAUCCUGGGUUUAAAGGAGGGCCUAUGAGAUGAGAAGCUUUUUGGACAUAUGACCAACAUUCAGAUAAAACACCUGCUCCCACCGAGAACCUUCAAAGCCAAUUUCAUCUGCUUAUGGCCCCUUCAGAGUAGCUGCAAUUGAAGGAUAAAUGCUCCAUGCCAGUUGGUGUUUGUUCAGAGGACACUGGAAGAAGAGGGACAAAGGUGGCCUGGAUGUAUGUGUUCAUCAGGGGUUGUCAGGACCCCGUUUCUAAAAGGAGGUUUUAAAAUAACGUUUUUGACAUCGAGAUGGUUCUGGAAGUUGAUGUCGUCCAACAGUUUGGCAAACGAAGGAAGGAGGCCUGCGGGCUAAAGCUGACGUGUUGCCUGUUUUUUGUAAAUAAAGAUUUAUUGAAACACAGGCACGCCCAUUUGUUGACAGAUUGCCUGCUGCUGCUUUUGCACUAGAACACGGAGUAGUAGCGACAGUGACCACAUGGCCUACAGAACCGAAAGGAUUGACUGUGGUUCUUUACAGAAAAAGGGUGCUGGCUCUUGAUGUAGUCUAUCCAAUUCGCUGAGUAUCUUCUAAAUAGCUACUCCAUGCUGACAAGUGUAUUCAUAGGCAUUCGGAUAGCAGCUCUCAUGGGAUGAAAUGCUGAGGGCCUUUGGGAAUGUGCUGAUGUAACGGGUGUUCAGUACUGGGCGUAUGGACAGCAGGAAGUGACGCAGAUUUGGGGCCGGAAGUCAUGGUUGAGAAAAGACUCUGUCAUUAUUGUCUCAGUGGCAAGUCACUGAUCACGGCUGGGCUCUUCCUUUGUCUGCUACAUGGAGGAGAAGGUUGAUCCGCGAGCCUAAGUCUAUGGUUCUCUGAAGCAAAGGUGCCAGUGAAGUUGCUUCAUAAAAAAAAAAAAAAAAAACAAACCUUCCAGAAUCUUCCAUUGGAGAAUUGUCACCUGCAAAGACCUCUGAGAGGCUUCCUUUCUUCCUCCCUUCCGGUGGGCUGGAACCCGGAUGUGCUGGCCGCCCCAUUAAACCAAGCACAGUGCCCUGCAGGAUGGGGGGCAACAAGAGGGAAGGAUCUGGAUCUCUCCAUGCCUGCACUGUCCAACUCGAGAGUGUGAAAGGGAAAGCAAUUCGAUCCUGGGAGCCACUGUGUUUUGUUGUCUGUUUCACAGAAGAGCUGAGGUUUUUACCCUGAAUAAUGCAGAACAUUUCUGGGCUGGGAAGCAGAGAAUUGAUUUCAGGUCAUUAUCUUGUCUUCCCUCAUUUUUUUUCCUUCUUUCCUUCAUUCCAAAAAUAUUACCGAGCACCAACUCUGUACCAGCCGUGCUAAAGUAACAAAAGAGUCAUGCUCCUAUCCUGCAGGCGCCUCCCUUCUAGCAGGGAAGAGAGACACAGCAAGUAGACAGACAUAAAAUUAAAGCACCUGCCGACUGGAGUAUGUGUUGCGAAGAACAUAAACGUCCAGAUGCAUGGGCGAGAGAAAGCCACUGUAGCCAGCAUGGUCAGAGGAAGCCUCCACGAGGAGGUGAUGUUUCAGCCGAGCCCUAAAGGAGGACAAGAAAUAGGUGUGCAGAAAGUGGGGACACACCCUUCCAAGCGGACGAGAGCGUGUGCCAAGGCCCCACACGAGGAAGAACUUAUUGAGCACAGGGAGGAGACAAGAAUGAAGAGUGGAGAGAGACACAUUCCAAUUGGCAAUAUGGCUGGGGGCUGGUAUACCAGUGGCUUUUGAAGGGUUUCAACAAGGGUGUGUUGCGGGAGAGAGAGAGAGUGCACUCACUCCGUUAUUAAGAUCGCUUUUACUACUUUAUAGACAAAGUACUGUGGAAAGGUAAGAAUUUCUGCAGCUGGCAUAACCUCUAGUGGUCCUAGCAGUGAAGGAUGAGAUGGGUCAUAAAAGUC